CAUUGGACUAAUAUAGGGAUAAAUGAUGGAAAAAGAACAUUUUAAUGGUGAUGUUCCUCAUCACUCUCAAAAUGAUCAUCUUUUCCCAUCAUUUAUCCCUAUAUUAGUCCAAUGAAAGAAAAAUAACGUUCAAAUAUUUACAAAUAUGAACACACACUGAACUUAUUUUGGCUGUUGAUUUGACAUAACAUUACAAGUUUCCAUAGUACCUGGAACUUAUGAAGACUUCUUGUGUAACAAUGGGUCACAGAUGACUUGGGGCUCAAAGUCUGGCUUCAAAUAGUUGGCAAGCAAAUCACCAUACAACUCGUACCGAGCAGUCAUUCGAAAUCCCCACUUGUCUUUCAGCUGUCUACAAAGGUUUAGGUCCAUGUCUGAGAUCAACAAUCCAUCCUUGUAACGAGAAAGAGAGGGCGUGCAAGAAGCAUCUGGUGCUGAAAAAUGACUAGACCCAUAGAAAUGCCCAAAAUCUGUAUGUUGUGGCUUCCCAUCACCCGAAGUGAAUGGAUUGGGAAAAUUCUCAGUCCCAACGCGAUUGAUAGAUCCAACAAAAUAGCUAUUGGCUAUUGCAGCAUUACGAGCCUCAAUGGGCCACAUUGGUUCACUGAGUUCACCAACAGUGGCAGAUGGAUUGAAAACAAUCUCAGCACCAUUCAAGCCAAAUGCUAACC
rnacentral:misc_RNA from 1 species